rnacentral:rRNA from 1 species
CCUACGGGUGGCAGCAGUCGAGAAUCAUUCACAAUGGGGGAAACCCUGAUGGUGCGACGCCGCGUGGGGGAAUGAAGGUCUUCGGAUUGUAAACCCCUGUCAUGUGGGAGCAAAUUAAAAAGAUAGUACCACAAGAGGAAGAGACGGCUAACUCUGUGCCAGCAGCCGCGGGAAUACAGAGGUCUCAAGCGUUGUUCGGAAUCACUGGGCGUAAAGCGUGCGUAGGCUGUUUCGUAAGGCGUGUGUGAAAGGCGCGGGCUCAACCCGCGGACGGCACAUGAUACUGCGAGACUAGAGUAAUGGAGGGGGAACCGGAAUUCUCGGUGUAGCAGUGAAAUGCGUAGAUAUCGAGAGGAACACUCGUGGCGAAGGCGGGUUCCUGGACAUUAACUGACGCUGAGGCACGAAGGCCAGGGGAGCGAAAGGGAUUAGAUACCCGUGUAGUC